AAAGCUACGACCAUGUUGCUGUGGCUGUUCUCAGUCUUCUGUCUGCUGGACAGUCCUGUGAGCAGCUGUGAGAGUCUCAUCCAUCCGAUUGAAAUCCGUGGAAGAGAGCUGUUGCUGGGAAAUUGGACGGCCAUUGCCGAAAGCACAGACUACCCAGAAGCCAAAUUGCUGACCAACAUAAUACUAGAGAGCGGGAGGCUGGAAAUCACUGCUGCUACUGAGAGUGAUACCAUCAAUGUGAUUCGGUCUCCAAAAAUGUAACUUAAAGCCUUAUUUCAAUGAAGGUGAUUUUGGAGCCAAUUAAACAAACUAAACAUUCAA